AUUUCAUGUAAAGGAACUGACGUAUACUAUAGAUUCACCUAAAUCGAGGCUCCAUCUAGAACUGUGACACCUGAAGUAAAAACAAGCAUCAAGUACAUCUUUUAGUAGUAGUGUGAAAAGAAAGAAAGUAUCUACAUUACCUUUGAAAAAUUCCAAAUCAUCUUGUAAGUCAAUAGAUAUGUGUUUUAGGUAGCAGAUUUUUUUUGUAAUUAUCUAACUGUAUGCAAAUGAACUUGUAAAUAAUGUAAAUACAUUUAUAAAGCAAUUUUAUGAAAUAAAAAAAUAUGAUAUUUUAAUUGUUUUUUAUUUAUUUUACUACUAUGUCGUUAAAUCUAGCAAAUUUUGAUCUUUCAUUUCUACUAACUAUCACUCAAUAUUGAUACUAAUUCACCACUUCGCCAGUAAACC
rnacentral:misc_RNA from 1 species